ensembl:miRNA gmo-mir-11277 gmo-mir-11277
GUCAAUAUACCGGUAGAUGCUUAAGCAUCUACCGGUAUAUUGCCUUUGU